rnacentral:rRNA from 1 species
GACGAAGGUGGCUAGCGUUGUUCGGGAAUCACUGGGCAUAAAGCGCACGUAGGCGGUGUCAUAAGUCGGGUGUGAAAUCCCUCGGCCUAACCGAGGAACUGCGCCCGAUACUGUGAUGCUUGAGGACCAGAGGGGUGCAUGGAAUUUCCGGUGGAGCGGUGAAAUGCGUUGAUAUCGGAAGGACUCCGGCGGCGAAGGCGGCGGACC